AUGUUUAGUAUUUUCCCAAUCCUAUGCAAUUCAGUUCAUUCCAGUGCAUUCCAACGCCCGUUUACAUUAUUCCAGUAGCAAUCCAGGGCU